AACGUCGACGUGCACAAGCAAGGUCACGCAUCAUAAAUGCCGUUUAUUCUAAAACAAAGAGUGCUUUACCGAAACACAGUAUGCAUCGGAGGCAGAAAAUUUAUUCAAGCUCUGAAGUCCCAAACAACUGAAAAUGCUCCAAAACACCAUCACGUGACCCUGGUAUUCUCAAAGUGCUGGUGAAAGUGUUUGUUUUGUAGGCCUAAAUGUUUGUUGAUAGUAGAGAGGCGGAUUGAUAGACUUUAUAACAAGUCAUGAUCAACAUUCCCCAACUGUUAGUUAAUUACACUGUAGCAGACACUACAUCUGCCUAUGAGCAAUGGACAGAACUGAGAAUACCUUAUCAUGAACCGUAGUGAACACUGCUGGCAACAUCCUGUUUUAUUGGCACACAACAGCAUCCCUCCUGAUCAAGUGAAAAGGAAUCCUAUGACACCGCUUGAUCUUUGUCUGACAUGGAAAUCUGCAAAUCAAAAAAGGUGGAAGAAUAACAUCUGGUUAAAAAAUUUAUGUGGAAAAAUAUCUGCUUUAAAGUGAUGUCAUGAACUGGACGCUGCACUCUUGAUUCCAACACUAAUAUUGUCAUGACCAAAUGUUAAAGUUCAUAUUCAGCAAGUUGAAGAUAACUGACACCAUCUUUAAGUAUAAGUUGCACAAAUAUGGUAUUCAGAAGUUUUUUGUUUUCACUACUGAUGUAUAUGUAGUAUAAAAAAAUCGAUUUCUGUAAUAGAAUAAAGUAUUGGAAUACA
rnacentral:lncRNA from 1 species